rnacentral:rRNA from 1 species
AUUGAACGCUGGCGGAAUGCUUUACACAUGCAAGUCGAACGGCAGCACGGACUUCGGUCUGGUGGCGAGUGGCGAACGGGUGAGUAAUGCAUCGGAACGUGCCCAGUCGUGGGGGAUAACGUAGUGAAAAUUACGCUAAUACCGCAUACGAUCUAUGGAUGAAAGCGGGGGAUCGCAAGACCUCGCGCGAUUGGAGCGGCCGAUAUCAGAUUAGGUAGUUGGUGGGGUAAAGGCCCACCAAGCCAACCAUCUGUAGCUGGUCUGAGAGGACGACCAGCCACACUGGAACUGAGACACGGUCUAGACUCCUACGGGAGGCAGCAGUGGGGAAUUUUGGACAAUGGGCGAAAGCCUGAUCCAGCCAUUCCGCGUGCAGGAUGAAGGCCCUCGGGUUGUAAACUGCUUUUGUACAGAACGAAAAGGUUUCUACUAAUACUAGGAGCUCAUGACGGUACUGUAAGAAUAAGCACCGGCUAACUACGUGCCAGCCGCCGCCGUAA